rnacentral:rRNA from 1 species
CCUACGGGUGGCAGCAGUAGGGAAUAUUGCUCAAUGGGGGAAACCCGGAAGCAGCAACGCCGCGUGGAGGAUGAAGGUGGUAGGAGUGUAAACUCCUUGUGGUAGAGAAGAGGAGGACGGUAUCUAACGAAUAAGCACCGGCGAACGCCGUGCCAGCAGCCGCGGUAAUACGGAGGGGGCAAGCGUUACUCGGAAUCACUGGGCGUAAAGAGUGCGUAGGCGGGGGAAGAAGUCAGAUGUGAAAUCCUGUCGCUGAACUACAGAACUGCAUUUGAAACUGUUACUCUGACGUGUGGGGGAGGUAGGUGUAGUUCUUGGUGUGGGGGUAAAGUCCGUGUCACUCAAGAG